rnacentral:rRNA from 1 species
AUUGAACGCUGGCGGCAGGCCUAACACAUGCAAGUCGAGCGAGAAAGGUCUUCGGACUGAGUACAGCGGCGGACGGGUGAGUAAUGCGCAGGAAUCUACCUGGUAGUGGGGGAUAACUCGGGGAAACUCGAACUAAUACCGCAUACGCCCUACGGGGGAAAGCGGGGGACCUUCGGGCCUCGCGCUAUCAGAUGAGCCUGCGUAGGAUUAGCUUGUUGGUGAGGUAAAGGCUCACCAAGGCGACGAUCCUUAGCUGGUCUGAGAGGAUGAUCAGCCACACUGGAACUGAGACACGGUCCAGACUCCUACGGGAGGCAGCAGUGGGGAAUAUUGCGCAAUGGGCGAAAGCCUGACGCAGCCAUGCCGCGUGUGUGAAGAAGGCCCUUGGGUUGUAAAGCACUUUCAAUUGGGAAGAAAGGUUGCGUGUUAAUAGCACGUAGCUGUGACGUUACCUUUAGAAGAAGCACCGGCUAACUCCGUGCCAGCAGCCGCGG